AAAAAGUUUGACUGUUGCUUAUCGAUUGUCGCCCUAAUAUGAGGUAGUCAACCUUCCGCCAUCUGUCUUGGGACACGCUGCAAGAUGUCCGAGAGGCGCUCAGUCCAGGCCGAUCAAGACAAAUUUAGCUAUAGGUCGGUACUAAAUGGUUGCAAGCUUAGGUUAAUGUUGUCCUUAUGCUGGGCACCAAUGGCUACUGCGACGCUACACCCACAGGGACUCUGCCGUGAGCGGCUCAAGGUUAUCGUCAAAACCACCACCAAGCGAAUCCUAUGGAAGCCCUGGCGCACGGCGCAGACACUCCCCAUCGCCCAGCGAUCGCAGCAACCGGCCGGACCAAUCUGUACAGAGCCGGGAAACGACAGCAGAUUCGGAGCCAUCAAUUCGUUCCUCGUAC
rnacentral:lncRNA from 1 species